GCCANNNNNNNNNNNNNNNNNNNNUGGUACUACAGGAGCGCACCACCACACCUGGCUUAUUUUCUUGUAUUUUUAAUAGAGACAGGGUUUUGCCAUGUCGGCCAGGCUGGUCUCAAACUCCUGACCUCAGGUGAUCCACUCUCCUCGGCCUCCCGAAGUGCUGGGAUUAUAGGUGUGAGCCACCGUGCCCAACCACAUGAUUUCAUUUUUGUUGGCAACAUCCAAAGCAUCAUAAUCAGCAGCCAGUUGAACAUAUGCCUUCUUCUCUCCAUCAGGCCUAUUCAGGGUGUUGACCACUGCCACGUCGAUGUCAUAGAGCUUCUUCACAGCCUGUUUGAUCUGGUGCUUGUUGGCUUUAACAUCCACAAUGAACACAGUGUGUUGUUGUCGUCUGUCUUCUUCGUGGCCAACUCAGUGGUCAGCGGAAACUUGAUGAUAACACAGUGGCCAAGCUUGUUUCUCCCAGGGAUGCUCUUCUGGGAAUAUCUGGGCCGCCUCCAGAGUCGCAGUGUCUUGGGCCGCUGGAAGGCUGCCUACUGUCGAGAGCUCAUGGAUGAUUUGUCCUUUGAAGGGUUUUCUCACCGGAAGCUCCGCCAUUGCCUGGUGUGAGUGGUUCAUCCACAAGUGGCAGCCAAGAGCCUCCUGGCAGUGGCAUCAGGUAGGUGGUGCCUAUUGCACCCCAGAAGUCAUCCCAGCUCCAGAUGUGAACACGUUUUCUUCCACUAGUCAGCACAAUGUUAAGCUCUGUAAAUGCAAAUCAAUUAAUUCUUCCAGCAUCUUCAUGAGGCAGGGCUUGCUGUUUUUCCAGAUGUCUACAGAUGAGGAAACCGAGGCCUGGAGAGGUUAAGGAGGCCUGUUCAAAGUCAUACAGUGGCGGCAGACAGGGUCUCAUAUGUUGCCCAGGCUUGUCUCGAACUCCUGGCCUCAAGAGAGCUUCCCGCCUUGGUCUCACAAAGUGCUGGGAUUAUAUGUCUUUAAUACACAGCAGCUUUUACAUUUAAAAAAAUAAAAGGGGGUCAUGCCUGUAAUCCCAGCACUUUGGGAGGCUGAGGCGGGCAGAUCACGAGGUCAGGAGAUCGAGACCAUCCUGGCUAACAUGGUGAAACCCCGUCUCUACUAAAAAAAAUACAAAAAAGUAGCUGGGCGUGGUGGCGGGCACCUGUAGUCCCAGCUACUUGGGAGGCUGAGGCAGGAGAAUGGCGCAAACCUGGGAGGCAGAGCUUGUAGUGAGCUGAGAUCGCGCCAC
rnacentral:lncRNA from 1 species